AGAGUUUGAUCCUGGCUCAGGAUGAACGCUAGCUGUGUGCCUAAUACAUGCAUGUUGAACGAAGUUUUUAAAUUUAGUAGCGAAUGGGUGAGUAACACGUAUCUAACCUACCUUUUAGAUUGGGAUAACUAUUGGAAACAAUAGCUAAUACCGAAUAUUUAUUAAUAUCGCAUGAUAUUUUUAUAAAAGAAGCGUUUGCUUCGCUAAGAGAUGGGGAUGCGCCAUAUUAGCUAGUUGGUAGAGUAAUAGCCUACCAAGGCGAUGAUAUGUAGCCGGGCUGAGAAGCUGAUCGGCCACACUGGGACUGAGAUACGGCCCAGACUCCUACGGGAGGCAGCAGUAGGGAAUUUUCCACAAUGAGCGAAAGCUUGAUGGAGCGACACAGCGUGCAGGAUGAAGGUCUUCGGAUUGUAAACUGCUGUUAUAAAGGAAGAAAAACUCGGAUAGGAAAUGAUUCGAGCUUGACGGUACUUUAUUAGAAAGUGACGGCUAACUAUGUGCCAGCAGCCGCGGUAAU
rnacentral:rRNA from 1 species